CCUACGGGUGGCAGCAGUGAGGAAUAUUGGUCAAUGGACGCAAGUCUGAACCAGCCAUGCCGCGUGCAGGAAGACGGCUCUAUGAGUUGUAAACUGCUUUUGUACGAGAGUAAACGCAGAUACGCGUAUCUGUCUGAGAGUAUCGUACGAAUAAGGAUCGGCUAACUCCGUGCCAGCAGCCGCGGUAAUACGGAGGAUGCAAGCGUUAUCCGGAUUUAUUGGGUUUAAAGGGUGCGUAGGCGGUCGGUUAAGUUAGAGGUGAAAUCCCGGGGCUCAACUUCGGAAUUGCCGCUGAUACUGGUAGGCUAGAGAGCAGGUGAGGUAGGCGGAAUGCAUGGUGUAGCGGUGAAAUGCUUAGAGAGCACGCAGAACCCCGAUUGCGAAGGCAGCUUAC
rnacentral:rRNA from 1 species